rnacentral:ribozyme from 2 species
GCUGUAAUGACACCACCAAAGCGGUGAGCGUUCCAAGUCGCUGAAAGUCAGAGGACAGC